GAUGAACGCUAGCGGCAGGCCUAACACAUGCAAGUCGAGGGGCAGCACGGGUAGCAAUACCUGGUGGCGACCGGCGCACGGGUGAGUAACGCGUUUGCAAUCUACCUCUGACUGGGGCAUAGCCCGGAGAAAUUCGGAUUAAUACCCCAUAAUAUCAUUGAAUCGCAUGGUUUAAUGAUUAAAGCUUCGGCGGUCAGAGAUGAGCAUGCGUGUCAUUAGCUUGUUGGUGAGGUAACAGCUCACCAAGGCAACGAUGACUAGGGGGUCUGAGAGGAUGAUCCCCCACACUGGUACUGAGACACGGACCAGACUCCUACGGGAGGCAG
rnacentral:rRNA from 1 species